GCCACACCUCCCCUGGCUAUGAUUGACAGAGCCUGCAUGAAAAAAAAAAACUGGUUUCACUUUUAAACAGAUGUAAUUUACCUUAAAUAAUUGUAUCUCAAUCUCUAAAUUGAACUUUAAUCACAUACAGGAGGCUCUUGCAGGGUCUAGCAAGCUAUUAACAUAGCAGUGGAUAAGAAAAUCUUAAUUAAACAGAACUUGCAAUAAAGAAAGCCUAAAUAGGGCUCUCUUUGCAGGGAGGUGUGACAAG